CUCCCCCAUGCCGGGACUCCAGGCAUGAAAGCACCCGGCUCAGCGCUUGGUGCUUUUCUUCUCUGGAUUUCCCCUGACUCCCGUCCCAUUUUGUUAAAGUGACCGACUCUCUGCAAAUGUCCGAGGAACAAAUACUUUUUGGUCAGUGAAGUGUGUGCACUGGGGUCGGGCUUGGAAGCACAUGAAGGUGAUGGGGGUUCUGUCUGUGAGCUCUUGGCUGUUGCAUUUCUCUCUACUUCCACCGGUUGGCUGCAGGGCUAGGGCAGGGCAGAGACCGGAAUAGAAGAGCUAAAUUUAUCCUGGGAGCCCGGGCGUGGCUGCGGCUCAGGCCGCGCGGCCUGGAUGGAGGCGGUGCUCGGUGGCCGCCCUCCCGGAGCUGGUUUCCUCCCUGGGAAAGCAGGUCUCUCCGCGGUGCUGAGGAGCUCGGGCUGGAAUUUCCCCGCAGCGCCGCCCCGCCGGGAGGGACCAGGAGGGAUCUACCCGAGCCCGAUGAGCAGCCCGGGGAGACGCCCGAAACCCAGAACCUGCGCGUUAAAACUGAAAACUUUCCUCCCUUCCACCAUGUCAGUCCCAGGGAUCGAACUUACGCGGUCAGGCACGGUGGUACUCACCAUGGAUGUUUUCCCAGGGGGUAUUCCUGGAAGAGAUUAAGCCUGGGGACUCAUUUCUUCUGGGGACAAUUCAAGGGAAGGUGUCAAGGUCUGGACUCUGCAGGUGUGGAGCAGUGCUGCCAUCUGUCCAGAAGAGGGCGCGAUCUGCAUUCUUCAGAACUGGAAGAACAAGAGCAGCAAGCCUGAGAAAUAAGGCUAUUCCUCCACCUGGAGUGGUGCAGUCUUUCAGUUCAAUAAUUAAAG
rnacentral:lncRNA from 1 species